CUGCUGCCUUCCGUAGGAGUCUGGGCCGUGUCUCAGUCCCAAUGUGGCCGUUCAACCUCUCAGUCCGGCUACCGAUCGUCGGCUUGGUGAGCCGUUACCUCACCAACUACCUAAUCGGACGCGAGCCCAUCUUCGAGCGAUAAAAUCUUUGAUACCAGCAGGAUGUCCUCCCGGUAAUGUUAUGCGGUAUUAGCGACCGUUUCCAGCCGUUAUUCCCCUCUCGAAGGCAGGUUGCUCACGUGUUACUCCACCCGUCCG
rnacentral:rRNA from 1 species